AGUGAGGGAACUGGUGAUUGAGUGUGUUCUGGCCUUGAGAUUCUCCCCCAUCAAGUUGGCUUCCAUAUAGAUUUUCUAGGCUGGCACAGACCAUUUGAAAGGAUAUAAGCUACGCAUAUCCGGGAAUAAAUCAGGCUUGAAGCUGAAAGGACGAGCUGCAGUCAUUUUUAUAUGACUGUGGGGAGAAGUCGCUUCAGAACAGGCUAACACCAAGGAAUUCGAGCCAGGGACAGACAGGAAGAAGAAGGGUCAUGAUGGCUUCAACUGAGUUCCUGGAUCCAUUCCUGCCUGAUUAUUCCUGGACUUUGUCAUUUUGUAAGCCAAAAUAUUCCCCUUUUGCUUAGUAAAUUGGGAACCGUUUUCUAUGUUUUGCAAGAAAAAGGAUCGUAACUGAUCCUAGAUGAUUUAAUGUCCAAUUACUAUAAGCAUUUUAAGUGUUUUCCAAAAUCUUUAAAUAUGUAAUAAAGUUCUGAGUCCCUGAAUCAGGAAGGC
ensembl:lncRNA